CCCUUAGAUGUUCUGGGCCGCACGCGCGCUACACUGAUGCAUUCAACGAGUUUCUUCCUGGUCCGAGAGGAAUGGGUAACCUUUUGAAAGUGCAUCGUGAUAGGGAUAGACUAUUGCAAUUAUUGGUCUUCAACGAGGAAUUCCUAGUAGACGUAGUUCAUCAGACUGCAUCGAUUUCGUCCCUGCCCUUUGUACACACCGCCCGUCGCUCCUACCGAUUGAAUGCUCAGGUGAGCCAUUCGGACUUUCAUCAUGCUGGUUUCCAGUUUUGAUGAAGGAAAGUCUUGCGAACCUUAUCAUUUAGAGGAAGGAGAAGUCGUAACA
rnacentral:rRNA from 1 species